AUGUCCUUCCUAUUGCUCUUUGCUGCAGUGUCUAGAAGUGAGAGUAUAUUCAAAUUAAAAACAGAAAGUCCCUUAAAUUCCUCUCAAGAAGUCCAUCCUGUAAGUGCCACUCCUGGAAAGACUAUGAUUAUUAUUACUUUUGACUGGAACAAGAUUGCAAAAGGCUUCAAGAAGAAAUGGAAAUGGUUCCGCCUAGACCAGCUUCUCGUGGACCAGCAUUGCCAGCUAACUGAAGGCUGUGAGUCUGCAUCUCGGCCCAUCUAUCCUUCUCCUUAUUCCCAUGAUGAGUUCACCAGUGCGGUCCGGAAAGCUUUCAAAGAAGACUUUCCUGAUAUUUUCCAAGAAAAUGGCAGAUUUUUCUGUGGCAGCUUACAGGGAGCAGGUGAACUAUUAGCAUCUGCCACUGGCACUGGACUAGCAGGAGGAUGGAUGUUCUCUGGUCCAAGUUGGAUUUUGAGGAAAGAACAGUAUUCUCAAAACUUCACAAAGACCUCAGGAUAUGACUUAUGAACUUAAGCCACUGAACUCAUGCCAUAAAGGUCACUCAACUCUGAAUCUCCAUUUGUGCAUCUUUAAUGAUCACUUUACCAAUGAAGGUCAGUAUGGUCAAAGCUAUGAUUUUUCCAGUAGUCAUGUAAAGUCCCUUGGACUGCAAGGAGAUCAAAUCAGUCAGUCCUAAAGGAACUCAACCCUGAAUAUUCAUUGGAAGAACUGUUGCUGAAACUGAAGUUCCAAUACUUUGGACACCUGAUGCGAAGAGCUGACUCAUUGGAAAAGACUCUGAUUCUGGGAGAAAUUGAAGGCAAAAGGAGAAGGGGAUAGCAGAGGAUGAAAUGGUUAGAUAGCAUCACCAACUCAGUGGACAUGCAUUUGAGCAAACUCUGGGAGAUAGUGAAGGACAAAGGGGCCUGGUAUGCUGCAGUCCAUGGGAUCACAAAAGUUGGACAUGGCUUAGUGACUGAACAAAAUGGGGUAGUAGUAACCAAAUUCCUUGACUCAAGGGACUGAAGAUAAUACACUGUGUUGAUGGUCAUCUGAAUUAAAUUCACCCGUUCCUGUUCAUUUGUUUACUCUUCUAUCUCCUGCUUGACCAUGUGCAAUUUACCUUGAGUCAUGGACCUAACAUCCCAGUUUCCUGUGCAAGACUGUUUUUAUAGCAUCAAAUUUUACUUUCAUCACCAGACACAUCCACAACUGAUCAUUGUGUCUGCUUUGGCCAAUCUGCUUCAUUCUUUCUAGAGCUAUUAAUAGUUGUCCUCCGCUUUUCCCCAGUAGCAUAUUGGAUACCUUCCGACCUGGGGGUCUCAUUUUUCGGUGUGAUAUCUUUUUGCCUCUUUAUACAGUUCAUGGGGUUCUCAGGGCUAGUAUAUUGGAGUGGUUUGCCAUUCCCUCCUCCAGUGGAUCACAUUUUGUCAGAACUCUCCACUAGGACCUGUCCUUGGGUAGCCCUACAUGGCAUGGCUAAUAGCUUCAUUGAGUUAUGCAAGCCCCUUCACCACGACAAGGCAGUGAUACAUGAAGGGGUAAUACACUGUAAAAACUCUAAAUAAAGCAAAUUAAAAAAAAAUUAAUGUCAAUAAAACAGAUUUUUAUCUUCUAGCUGGAAGCCAUUAUCUUUAACACUCAGAAUAAAAAAAACAACCAAUAAAACUUGAAGAAACUCUGUACACUACAAUGCUACUUGAUUUAGAAUGUCCUCACCAAAACCCUUUGACUGGCUUUGUAAGUGAAGGAAAGUAACUGACUUUCCUUCAAGUGUUCAAAACCCUAGGCAUUUAAGCAAUCUCUAAAUGCACCAAUUAGUGUCUAAUGGGCAAAUCCAUGAUCUUUUCUCAGUCUUCAAUAGAAUUGCUAAUAGUAGUAGUAAUUCACUUAUUCAAGAAGUAUAUAUUGAGUGCCUACUGUGUCUGGAAUGGUUUUAAUUCAUCGAAAGUAAAAGUCAGGGAAAAUAAAAGCAGGAAAAUAUGAAAUUGUCUUUUAAGUGCUUAGUAUGAAUCAUGUGAGCUCAUGCUUAAAAUCUUGCAUGCUAGGCUUAAACAUUAUGUGGACCAAGAACUUCCAGAUGUCCAAGCUUAAUUUAGAAAAGGAAGAGGAACCAGAGAGCAAAUUGCC
ensembl:lncRNA